rnacentral:rRNA from 1 species
ACGGCUCAGUAACACGUGGAUAACCUGCCCAAGGGUUCGGGAUAACCCCGGGAAACUGGGGAUAAUACCGGAUGGAUCACUAGUGCUGGAAUGCUUGGUGGUUUAAAGGUAACGCCUUUGGAUGGGUCUGCGGCGGAUUAGGUUGACGCCGGUGUAACGUACCGGCGUGCCUGUAAUCCGUACGGGUUGUGGGAGCAAGAGCCCGGAGAUGGAUUCUGAGACACGAAUCCAGGCCCUACGGGGCGCAGCAGGCGCGAAAACUCUACAAUGCAGGCAACUGCGAUAGGGGGACAUCGAGUGGCAUCCACCUUGGGUGCCUGUCCAACCGUCUAAAAAACGGUUGUUAGCAAGGGCCGGGUAAGACCGGUGCCAGCCGCCGCGGUAAUACCGGCGGCUCGAGUGGUGGCCGAUAUUAUUGAGUCUAAAGGGUCCGUAGCCGGCUUUGCAAGUCCCCUGGGAAAUCCAGCGGCUUAACCGUUGGGCUUUCAUGGGAUACUACAUUGCUUGGGACUGGGAGAGGUAGGAGGUACUCGGGGGGUAGGGGUGAAAUCCUGUAAUCCUCCGGGGACCACCGGUGGCGAAGGCGUCCUACCAGAACAGGUCCGACGGUGAGGGACGAAAGCUAGGGGCACGAACCGGAUUAGAUACCCGGGUAGUCCUAGCCGUAAACGAUGCCCGCUAGGUGUCACGACGGUCGUGAAUCGUCGUGGUGCCGUAGGGAAGCCGCGAAGCGGGCCACUUGGGAAGUACGGCCGCAAGGCUGAAACUUAAAGGAAUUGGCGGGGGAGCAC